rnacentral:rRNA from 1 species
AUCUGCUCAGGAUGAACGCUGGCGGCGUGCCUAAUACAUGCAAGUCGAGCGAAUGGAUUGAGAGCUUGCUCUCAAGAAGUUAGCGGCGGACGGGUGAGUAACACGUGGGUAACCUGCCCAUAAGACUGGGAUAACUCCGGGAAACCGGGGCUAAUACCGGAUAACAUUUUGAACUGCAUGGUUCGAAAUUGAAAGGCGGCUUCGGCUGUCACUUAUGGAUGGACCCGCGUCGCAUUAGCUAGUUGGUGAGGUAACGGCUCACCAAGGCAACGAUGCGUAGCCGACCUGAGAGGGUGAUCGGCCACACUGGGACUGAGACACGGCCCAGACUCCUACGGGAGGCAGCAGUAGGGAAUCUUCCGCAAUGGACGAAAGUCUGACGGAGCAACGCCGCGUGAGUGAUGAAGGCUUUCGGGUCGUAAAACUCUGUUGUUAGGGAAGAACAAGUGCUAGUUGAAUAAGCUGGCACCUUGACGGUACCUAACCAGAAAGCCACGGCUAACUACGUGCCAGCAGCCGCGGUAAUACGUAGGUGGCAAGCGUUAUCCGGAAUUAUUGGGCGUAAAGCGCGCGCAGGUGGUUUCUUAAGUCUGAUGUGAAAGCCCACGGCUCAACCGUGGAGGGUCAUUGGAAACUGGGAGACUUGAGUGCAGAAGAGGAAAGUGGAAUUCCAUGUGUAGCGGUGAAAUGCGUAGAGAUAUGGAGGAACACCAG